AAGGGUCUAGCUCAGCAGUAGAGCGUGUGCUCAGCAUGCACAAGGUCCUGGGUUCAAUCCCCAGUACCUCCA
rfam:Camelus ferus unplaced genomic scaffold scaffold552, whole genome shotgun sequence.